rnacentral:lncRNA from 1 species
GGGGAGUUUUCCUUCACAAGUUCUCUCUUUGCUUGCUGCCAUCCAUGUAAGAUGUGACUUGCUUCUCCUUGCCUUCCGCCAUGAUUGUGAGGCUUCCCCAGCCACGUGGAACUGCUUUUAGGCUCCUUAUCAACACAAGAAUGGACAUCAAGUUACUUACAUAUUGGGCCAAAAUAUUGAGUGCAGAUGAAAAUAAAUGCUGACUUUGAAGAUUUCCCAUCCAGCCCGCAGAAAUUCCCCUGGCCUGCCACACUUGGGUAACUUGAGUUCUGGAAUUCCAGACGUGGUUAACCCCAAUCCACAAAUUUGCUGGAGUUAUGAAGCUGAGUGAGAGUACUGCUUUUCUAUUAUGCAUUCCCAAUAUGUUCUGUUCUGAGCUGACACCACAGAAUUUACUUCUCCCACAAGUUUAACCCACUGCAUGGAGUGAUCAUGGCUCACUGUUUUUUGGUAAAUACCAAAAUACAGAUAACAGUUUUUCACAGUACAAAUUUUAUAUCUGACUUGGCUGGAAACUUCCCCAGUCACUCCGUCUAGUUGCCUCAUUUUGUUGGGCCUUGGUUUCUUUCAGUUUCCUACUAAAACUUACCUCUUUGGGGAGGCAUGAGUAUCAAUGCUUGGCUACCAAUCCAGGUAAGGCCUCUGAAUGAAAGGUGAUAUGGAAGGGCACAAACGAUCUGGAUACCUAUCCCCUGGGAAAGUCCAGGCCUCAGGCCACAGCAAUGCCACAGCUUCUGGAAGCUGCCUGGGAACUGAGGUUUUAUUCUCCUGUGUGUGUCUACAUGCCUGGAGUGUUGACUCUGGAGACCUAUGAAUACAGUAAAUGACAUCAUAGGUAGCUCAGGUCAAUGAAGAUUUAUUUUUAGCUAUGACCCUUGUCUGUUAAAUGAUCUGAAUUUAAAAAGAAAGAGGACACGGAAGAAGGAAAAGAAAUGUGAAAGGCAAUGAAAGAAUGUAAGAUUCCUGCUUGAUCUUAAAAAGCACUAGAGCAAAAGUCAAGCACAGCUUUCUUAUUUCUUUUCAACCAGAAGGGUGUUACAGGAGAAAUGUAUGAAGGGCGGAGGAUAUGCCCUCUUGUGAGAAUUCUGUCUCUUCCCUGCAGUUACUCAUUUUGAGAAUGUGGCUCCCAGUGUCUACAGUGGAGGUGGGCUC